UACAGAGGGGGCAAGCGUUGUUCGGAAUUACUGGGCGUAAAGGGCGCGUAGGCGGCCUUCUAAGUCGAACGUGAAAUCCCCGGGCUCAACCCGGGAACUGCGUCCGAUACUGGAAGGCUUGAAUCCGGGAGAGGGAUGCGGAAUUCCAGGUGUAGCGGUGAAAUGCGUAGAUAUCUGGAGGAACACCGGUGGCGAAGGCGGCAUCCUGGACCGGCAUUGACGCUGAGGCGCGAAAGCCAGGGAAGCAAACGGG
rnacentral:rRNA from 1 species